GUGCAAUGUGCCGAGCCUAAUAAACUGUAACACCUCACUUCGCUGAGAAGGCUAAUGAGAUGACCUCGACCAAUCAAGAUUCGGAAAUCUUUUUCGAUCGAGACUUGGAUAGAUAACCAGUCACCCUCAACGCAGUGCUAUCUAUGCCGACUGAAGAUGCUGCGAGACCGGCUGGUUCUACGAUGACAGUGCUAUCUAUGCUGACUAAAGAUAUCACCGGUUGCCUUCAUAAUGCUGUUUAUCCAAACUGAAGGUGUGUCGGUGAAAAAAGAAAAGGAAAAAGUCUCAAGGUUGUUGAGAGAAUUUGCGCAAGGCAGUUGUGUGUUGAAUUAAAGGGGGCUUGAAUGAUGCACAACCUUCUCUAUUUAUAGCGGCCAACUUGUAUUGAAUCCCAAUCCCUCUCGAAUUAGAACUCUUUUAUCUCGGCCAAUCCUAUUCCCAAUAGGACUUUGAACGUAACUUGUUAUCAAACUUUAUUCAAUCUCAUUAUCCUGAUCCCGUCGUAACUCCUUUUCAAAACAGAAUUUGUCUACAUUCCAACUUCCCAUAUGAUAUGGCCAAAUUUAACCGUGUGGCCCAUGGACUAAAUAUCAAUAACACCUGUACACGACUUCUGGGCCGAGAACGAAUCUAAACUCGGCCUAUCCGAUACUGGGCUGAAAAAGAUCUAAGCUCGGCCCAAAACAAUAUUUUUGGGCCCAAACAGGUUGCACUUGCUGCAAAAAAGCAUGCUGUUCCAUUUGUUUUGGUUGCUGGCACUCUAGGCAUAAUCAAAUUUGAACAUAUUCACACAACGUUUGGGUAACUUGUUCGUCUCCUUUUAAUUUUUAUUCCUUGAUAUAUUUUUGUUUGUUUUGCAGUUGGGUCCACUAUAUUCUAAUAAUCCAAAGGUUUUGGUGAAUGAUACGAGAUGCCCUUCAGAACCAUUUAUCUUUUGGGGAAUUCUCCGAUUAGAUCGGCGGUGUAGCUCCUAUUCUUAACGUUGUUAAUCCUGCAUUUGAUUAUGUGCCACCGGAGCUAGUCUCCUUCUUGUUACUGAUAUAGGGAGGCCUAAUCCAUCAUACAUCUAUAGGCUCAUUUCAGAUUUUUACUCUGCUGAUGAUUUGGGUCUGCACCAAAAACCAGCUUCUUGAAGUGAAUUCUCUAAUUCCAUGCAAAGAUAUUUUUGUCCUUUUUAUUAUGUACACAAUGGUCGGAGAAGUGAAACAGUAGAAGGAAAAGUCUAACUCAUAAACUUCAAAUUAUAUUUUUGGUGUGUUAUCAAAUUCAAAAGUGACUGGGAUUGAAGGACGAAUGCCCUGCUGUUGUUAUAGGAGUGUCCGUAGGGUAAGUAUAAGAAGUAGAAACUAAUCCAAUAUCUUGACAGUGAAGAACCAGUGAAUGUAUUUUGUUCUUUAACACAAGCAAUAUACUUGGGAAGAUCAAUACAUUAGUAUUUUUCAGU